GAGUAAUGUCUGGGAAACUGCCUGAUGGAGGGGGAUAACUACUGGAAACGGUAGCUAAUACCGCAUAACGUCGCAAGACCAAAGAGGGGGACCUUCGGGCCUCUUGCCAUCGGAUGUGCCCAGAUGGGAUUAGCUUGUUGGUGGGGUAACGGCUCACCAAGGCGACGAUCCCUAGCUGGUCUGAGAGGAUGACCAGCCACACUGGAACUGAGACACGGUCCAGACUCCUACGGGAGGCAGCAGUGGGGAAUAUUGCACAAUGGGCGCAAGCCUGAUGCAGCCAUGCCGCGUGUAUGAAGAAGGCCUUCGGGUUGUAAAGUACUUUCAGCGGGGAGGAAGGGAGUAAAGUUAAUACCUUUGCUCAUUGACGUUACCCGCAGAAGAAGCACCGGCUAACUCCGUGCCAGCAGCCGCGGUAAUACGGAGGGUGCAAGCGUUAAUCGGAAUUACUGGGCGUAAAGCGCACGCAGGCGGUUUGUUAAGUCAGAUGUGAAAUCCCCGGGCUCAACCUGGGAACUGCAUCUGAUACUGGCAAGCUUGAGUCUCGUAGAGGGGGGUAGAAUUCCAGGUGUAGCGGUGAAAUGCGUAGAGAUCUGGAGGAAUACCGGUGGCGAAGGCGGCCCC
rnacentral:rRNA from 1 species